rnacentral:rRNA from 1 species
GAACGGUAGCACAGAGAGCUUGCUCUUGGGUGACGAGUGGCGGACGGGUGAGUAAUGUCUGGGAAACUGCCCGAUGGAGGGGGAUAACUACCGGAAACGGUAGCUAAUACCGCAUAACGUCUUCGGACCAAAGUGGGGGACCUUCGGGCCUCACACCAUCGGAUGUGCCCAGAUGGGAUUAGCUAGUAGGUGGGGUAACGGCUCACCUAGGCGACGAUCCCUAGCUGGUCUGAGAGGAUGACCAGCCACACUGGAACUGAGACACGGUCCAGACUCCUACGGGAGGCAGCAGUGGGGAAUAUUGCACAAUGGGCGCAAGCCUGAUGCAGCCAUGCCGCGUGUAUGAAGAAGGCCUUCGGGUUGUAAAGUACUUUCAGUGGGGAGGAAGGCGAUGGAGUUAAUAGCUUCGUCGAUUGACGUUACCCGCAGAAGAAGCACCGGCUAACUCCGUG